UACGAGGGGGGCGAGCGUUGUUCGGAAUUAUUGGGCGUAAAGGGUGCGUAGGCGGUUCCGCAAGUCCUGUGUGAAAUCUUCGGGCUCAACUCGAAGUCUGCACGGGAAACUGCGGGGCUUGAGUGUGGGAGAGGUGAGUGGAAUUCCCGGCGUAGCGGUGAAAUGCGUAGAUAUCGGGAGGAACACCUGUGGCGAAAGCGGCUCACUGGACCAUAACUGACGCUGAUGCACGAAAGCUGGGGGAGCAAACAGG
rnacentral:rRNA from 1 species